GACGAACGCUGGCGGCGUGCUUAACACAUGCAAGUCGAACGGUAAGGCCCUUCGGGGUACACGAGUGGCGAACGGGUGAGUAACACGUGGGUGAUCUGCCCUGCACUUCGGGAUAAGCCUGGGAAACUGGGUCUAAUACCGGAUAGGACCACUGCCUGCAUGGGUGGAGGUGGAAAGGUUUUGCGGUGUGGGAUGGGCCCGCGGCCUAUCAGCUUGUUGGUGGGGUGAUGGCCUACCAAGGCGACGACGGGUAGCCGGCCUGUGAGGGUGACCGGCCACACUGGGACUGAGAUACGGCCCAGACUCCUACGGGAGGCAGCAGUGGGGAAUAUUGCACAAUGGGCGCAAGCCUGAUGCAGCGGCGCCGCGUGAGGGAUGACGGCCUUCGGGUUGUAAACCUCUUUCAGCACCGACGAAGCGCAAGUGACGGUAGGUGCAGAAGAAGGACCGGCCAACUACGUGCCAGCAGCCGUCGUAA
rnacentral:rRNA from 1 species